AGGAAAGUAGGGGAUCGCAAGACCUUGCGCUCUUGGAGCGGCCGAUGUCUGAAUAGCUAGUUGGUGAGGUAAAGGCUUACCAAGGCGACGAUCAGUAGCUGGUCUGAGAGGACGACCAGCCACACUGGGACUGAGACACGGCCCAGACUCNUACGGGAGGCAGCAGUGGGGAAUUUUGGACAAUGGGGGAAACCCUGAUCCAGCCAUGCCGCGUGAGUGAAGAAGGCCUUCGGGUUGUAAAGCUCUUUCAGCCGGAACGAAACGGUCACGGCUAAUACCUGUGAUCACUGACGGUACCGGAAGAAGAAACACCGGCUAACUACGUGCCAGCAGCCGCGGUAAUACGUAGGGUGCAAGCGUUAAUCGGAAUUACUGGGCGUAAAGCGUGCGCAGGCGGUUUUGUAAGUCAGAUGUGAAAUCCCCGGGCUUAACCUGGGAACUGCGUUUGAAACUACAAGGCU
rnacentral:rRNA from 1 species